AAAGCACACCCGAGGGGGUCGUGUCCCACACUAGGCAGAUCUAAUGGUGCCACAAAAGACAGGUGUUUUGUCAGAUUUCAGCCACACACUUUCACACCUGCAGCGCAUUAACUACAGCAGCAAUGUUAAUGAAGACCAGGUGCCUGUUCUCCAACUUAAAUGAGGAACUGGCAUGAGGCUUGCUGUUUGCUACCUGACGCCUUCCUCGGUGUCUCUGAAACUGGCCUUCUAGUUCCCUGGGAAGAAGGAGGGGACUUGGCAGAAGAAUGUAUCUAGUUUUCACAGCAGCAUCCCCAAGCCGUGGUUCCUCUGCCUGUACGAGCCAUGGGAGUGUCCUCUGUCUUCGACUCCACAUGCAUCUGUGGGAGUGAGUGGAUGUGAUGAUGUGUGGAGAGUGACUUCUAUUGGACAUUCAACACAAUGUUCUCAGGUACUUUGAACACAUCACAUCCUGUUAAGGAUUUGAAUUUGUGGACCAUGCUGGAAUAGAACAUCUUCUCUGACACUAACUUUUUUUAAAUGCAAGAACUAAAGGCAGACAAAGCCUUCCCAGAUCAAUUCGCAGUGGUACAAGACAGGCAUAGAGCUGAUGCGAGAGGCGACAAGACCCUAAUGGAAGGCAGCACACUGCUCUCUGGGGAUUCCCAAGCUCACCCGCCCAGUGAGGGAAAACGUUUUCGUGGAGAGCGAGGCAAUCAUUUCGCAAAUUGCUGCUUGCACCCUGCUAAGAGCCAGCUACACGCCUGGAAAAGCAGCUUCAUCUGCUCCGCACCUGCGCGAGCACGUGCCUCCAUUGACUAGUUUACUUGCCUUGAUCAGGGCAGGAGCAGGCAGGCGCAGGACGUCAAUGAUGCUUCGUUUUGAGGAAAUGUCAUAACGCCUAUGACAAAAACGGGUGGCUCUAGGGCAGCAGGACCUCCUCCUCCCACAAGGUUUUCUUGUUAUGCCCUUGAUGUCACCUCUCUUGGCUGUAUUCCCCCUGCCACCACCCAAGGGGUGAGGAGGAGUUCUCGCUCAGACCACGUGAUUGGCGUUCUCUGCCUAGUCCCUUUAUCCUUCCCCACGCUGGCCCUCCUGCACUCAGCCCAAGAGCCUUGCUAUUUUUACUUCUCUGUGAGGGGAUCUCAGGUUACAGAUGAUAUACCGAUGAGGUCAAGGUGGUAUUUAGGGGAAAAGACUGUGGGCUUUGAGAGAGAAUGGCUAAGAAUUUUAUCAACUACUUCCCAGACUAUCAAAAUAAAGGGAGCCAAGAUGGAGAAACCAGGACUAAAAAGCCAUUGAAUUUCACAUGAUUAUAUCAACUUUCUCUUUCUUUCUGAAUCAUUGGAGCUUUAGAAGGAACUUUUGGACAUGAGUAACUUUAAUUUGUAUUCCAGUUAUGCACCAUUUUAGCACGGCAUCGUGUUUGAUGAAUAGCUCAUCCAGAAUGAUUCAUUUAUUUCUAGUAAAGGGAUGGAAUGGGUGGGGUUCAGGCUCACUCACUCAUUUAUUAUUUCUUCUCUGUGAUACAAAAACAGAAUAGUUUCAGAAUUAGAGGAUUUUAGUGUUGAUAUUGUCUGAUGUAAUACGUUUCUGUGUGUAUUUUCUUAGUUUUUUUGAGGUAUAAUUUAUGUGCAAUAAAUUGCCCCACUUUAAAUGUGCAGUUUGGUAGUAUUAGCAAUUGUAUACAGUUGUGUAAUCAAUACCACAAUCAAGUAACUUCCAUUAUCUCAAAUGUUCUCUUGCCCCCUUUUAGUCAAGUGUCUCCCUCAACCCCUGGCUACAGGCAACCACUGAGUUGCAAUCUGUCCCCGUAUGUUUGGCUUCUUCCCCUCAGUAUAAUGCUUUGGGAUUCAUCCAUUUUGGUGCAUGGACCCGUAAUUUGUUCCUUUUUAUUGCUGGACAUUCUAUCAUCUGGAAUAUGCCACAAUUUCUUUCUCUAAGUAUUAGUUGGAUGAUGUUUGUGUUGCUUCUAGUUUUUGGUUAUUAAUAAUGAUUCUAUGAAUAUUCAUGUACUUGAAUUAUUUUAACAUAUGUGUUCAUUUGUCUUGGAUAAAUGUCUACGAUGACGGGUGUUGGGUCAUAAGGUAAGUAUGUAUUUAAUGUAAUAAGAUGCUGCCAAACUUACUGUUUUCUUACUGAUACUGUUUUCCAAAGCUACUGUUAUCACUGUGCAUUUGGAACCAGCAAGGUAUGAGAGUACCUGUUGCUCUAUAUCCUUGUCAACACUUGUAAUUGUCUGUUUAUUCAGUUUUUGAAUUUCUAGUGAGUGUGUAGUGGUAUUUCAUUCUGCUCUGCAUUUGUGUUGCUCUAAUGCCUAGUGAUGUUAAGUAUCUUUUCACAUGUUUAUUGGCUAUUUGUGUAUUUUCUUUUGUGAAAUGUCAGUUCAAAUCUUUUGCCCAUUAAAAAAAGAUCUUGGGGUUAUCUGAUUAUUGAGUUGUAAAUAUUCUCUCUAUAUUCUAGAUACAAACAUUUUGUCAUAAAUAUGUUUUGAAAAUAUUUUUUCCCAGUAUGUGUCUUUCCCUUUGCUUUCUUAAUCUUGUUUUUCAAAGAGCACAUGUUUUUAAUUUGGAUGCAGUUCAUUUAAUCAAUUUUUUCUUUAUAGUUUGUGCUCUUUGUGACCAGUUUAGGAAAUAUUUAUCUUACCCAGCAUCACAAAGAUUUUUCUGUUUUUUUCUUUUAGAAACUUUAUGGUUUUAGCUAUCUUAUGUUUAGGUCUGUGAUUCAUUUCAAGUUACUUUUUAUAUGUGUUGCAAAAAACAGAAAGACUCUUUGGUUUCAUGUUUUUCUUUUUUUUCUCAUGGAGAAAAAACAUUUUUUUGAAAAAACAUCCCUUCCCUAUUGAAUUAUCUUGGUACCUUUGUUAAAAAUCAGUUGAUGUAUAACUCUGAGUCUGCUUCUGGGUUCUGUCCUAUUGGUCUGUUGAUCUACUCUGCCUUCAUUAGUGAAGCUUUAUAGUAAGUCCUGAAAUCAGAUAGUAUAAGGAUUCCAGCUUUGUUCUUCUUUUAAAAACUAUCCUGCCCAUUCUAGGUCUUUUGCCUUUCCCUAGAUAGUUUACAACCAGCUUCUCAAUUUCUAAGAAACUUGCUAGGAUAAUUGGAGUGUUUAGUCCAUUAAAAUGUAAUGAAAUGUUGAUAGGUUUAGGUUAAGGUCUACUUUUUUCUUAUUAAUUUUCUAUUAGUUCCCUUUCUAUUUUGUUCCUCUCUUUCUUCUUUGCAGCUUUUUUGGUUUAUUUGAAUAUUUUUUAGACUUUCUUUUCUUUUUUCUUUUGAUCGUGCUUAUGUCAAUAUCCUGAUUUUAAUUUUAUACUAUAGAUUUCAAGAAGUUACCAUUCAGGAAAAGAAUGAUCUCAAAGUAAAAAUUUUCAUUUUAAAGCUAGACCAUUAAUAUUUGAAUAUAGUUCAGACUUAAAGAAAAUAUUUACAAACUGUAUUCCUGGAAAAGGACAUGUAUACAAGAUUUAUAAAGACCUUCUACAAUUACCUCUGUAAUGAAGAGACACCUGACCUGACAAUAAAUUGGCAAAAAAUUGGAGCAGACACUUCACAAAAGAUGUAUGAAUGGCCAACAAACAGAAGAGUGUUCAGCAUCAUCAGGGAAAUGGGAAAGGCAAAUCAAUACCACAAUGAAAUACCACUAUACAUCUACCAGAAAAGUCAAAGUUAAAAGAUUGGCAACAUCAGUGUUGGCAAGGAUGCGGAGUAACCAGAACUCUUAUACGCUGCUAAUGGGAGUGUAAAAUGGUAUAACAUUUUGGAAAAAGGAAUGGCAAUGUCUUAUAAAACCAAAGAUACACCUAACCCGUGAUUCAAUAAUUCCACAACUAAGUCUUUUCCCAAGAGAAAUGAAAAUAUAUGUCUAUAAAAAGAUUUGUAUAAAAAUGUUCAAAGUAGCUUUAUUCAUAAUAGCCAAAAGUGGAUACAGUUCAGGUGUUCAUCAAUAGGAGGGAUUUCGGAUAGGAGAACGGAUAAUCAAACUGUGGCAUAUCCAUACCUUGGAAUGCUACUCAUCAGUACAAAGAAACCAACUACUGAUACACACAGUGACAUGGAUAAAUCUCAAAAACAUUAUGCUGAAUUAAAGAACCCUUAUACAGAAGAGUACAUGAUAG
ensembl:lncRNA